CUUAGAAGCAGGAGAACUAGCUCUUGUAAGAUCCUGGCUCUGGUCACUCCUGUUCAUUCCAGAGCUGAGGGAUCCAACUGACCCUCUGUCUCCACUACCCUUGACUGCUCACUCCUGGAAAUUCACCAGUCUACAUGUGCUCUGCAGAGGUGAGAGGACCUUUGGAGGAGCAGAAGGAUGGUGGCUGUGGAAAGCUGGUGACCCUCAAGUCCACUUACAACGGAGAUGGCUGUGUUAGGACUCCUAGGACAUCAAGUGG
rnacentral:lncRNA from 1 species